GGAGGCAAAAGGACAUUAAUAAUGUUAGAUUGUGCCUGCAAGAGCUCAAUAAGUGUGCAGAAGAUGUAUCAAGAUCUGUUUCGUAUUUCCUGGAUGACUUAACUCUCGUGUCAUUUAAUCAUGUGGACAAGGUUUCAAGCUUGGGUACAUUUACCGCUGAUACACCGAAUUCUCACAAUAUUACGCCCCCCUACAUUUCCAUUAGAGUUAAUGGGCAGGUAACAGCAACGCCUGGCGUGAUUGUUGGUAAUCUCAGAGCCGAGCUGGUGGACACAGGAUUGGGAGGCACACAGCCCCAAGCAUGGUGAAGGAAUGACGCAGAAGGAAGCAAAUCUCCGAGAGCGCUGCCCAAGGUCACCCUACAUCGUGCAUACUUUAAACUCCAGCAAGGCAAGGGAGCGAGACGUCCGAAAUACUUGAGACGGGAACUAGAAGCAGUCUACUGGCUACCAAAACAAAGAUGUUGAGUGUAUUUGCAACCAAGUUUGAUCUCACUGUGGAUGCCAACACUCUGUCAUUAAAUGAAAAGCAGAGUCGGAAGGUGAAACGCAAAGCAGUCAAGAUAUUACAGGAAAGAUGUGUGAAGUGGUGUAAAUGUGCAACACGCAGUCAUGGAUGCACUGCUUGCUGAGUAUUAUGAGAAAUUAUUUAAUUUUAGAUGCCACUUCUUUCCGUGUAACUUCAUCUGCCGUAGUCAUCAUUGUUCCAGUUUCUGAUUACUUCAGGAUUUAGUCCCAUUGCACCUGUCAUUGCACAUGAUGUAAACAAUGAGCUUUUAUGAGUUUCAUAUUUGGUGAAUUUGUCUUAGUACGCAUUGCUCACGAGUGUGCGGCUGCCGCUUGGCCAAGUUGUUGAUGCAACUUGAGACUGACACAGGAAUACUGAUUUGAUUAAUGGGUAUUAUUUAAAGUAAUUUUUGGCAGACAGAAGCUUGGGAACGAUACAAGUUGUGUGUUUAAGGUGCGAGCAUGGGUUUGUUUGUCACCCUCCUUUUGCUUGUUCAUGUCAAUUUAUAGUUUUGAGAUAUUGAUGUGAUAUACCGUAUGAUGUCAGGGGACAUGACAAUAGAGAGUACAAAAAGCAUAUACUUACUGCAAAAUAAACUGGUUGAUAAACUCA